AGUGAACGCUGGCGGUAGGCCUAACACAUGCAAGUCGAACGGCAGCACAGUAAGAGCUUGCUCUUACGGGUGACGAGUGGCGGACGGGUGAGGAAUACAUCGGAAUCUACUUUUUCGUGGGGGAUAACGUAGGGAAACUUACGCUAAUACCGCAUACGACCUACGGGUGAAAGCAGGGGAUCUUAGGACCUUGCGCGAUUGAAUGAGCCGAUGUCGGAUUAGCUAGUUGGCGGGGUAAAGGCCCACCAAGGCGACGAUCCGUAGCUGGUCUGAGAGGAUGAUCAGCCACACUGGAACUGAGACACGGUCCAGACUCCUACGGGAGGCAGCAGUGGGGAAUAUUGGACAAUGGGCGCAAGCCUGAUCCAGCCAUACCGCGUGGGUGAAGAAGGCCUUCGGGUUGUAAAGCCCUUUUGUUGGGAAAGAAAAGCAGCAGGUUAAUACCCCGCUGUUCUGACGGUACCCAAAGAAUAAGCACCGGCUAACUUCGUG
rnacentral:rRNA from 1 species